GACGAACGCUGGCGGCGUGCCUAAUACAUGCAAGUAGAACGCACAGUUUAUACCGUAGCUUGCUACACCAUAGACUGUGAGUUGCGAACGGGUGAGUAACGCGUAGGUAACCUGCCUGGUAGCGGGGGAUAACUAUUGGAAACGAUAGCUAAUACCGCAUAAUAUUAAUUAUUGCAUGAUAGUUGAUUGAAAGAUGCAACUGCAUCACUACCAGAUGGACCUGCGUUGUAUUAGCUAGUAGGUGAGGUAACGGCUCACCUAGGCGACGAUACAUAGCCGACCUGAGAGGGUGAUCGGCCACACUGGGACUGAGACACGGCCCAGACUCCUACGGGAGGCAGCAGUAGGGAAUCUUCGGCAAUGGACGAAAGUCUGACCGAGCAACGCCGCGUGAGUGAAGAAGGUUUUCGGAUCGUAAAGCUCUGUUGUAAGAGAAGAACGGGUGUGAGAGUGGAAAGUUCACACUGUGACGGUAUCUUACCAGAAAGGGACGGCUAACUACGUG
rnacentral:rRNA from 1 species